AGGGUGUAAACGCUGCAGACUUGGUGUUGGAAGCCCUUUGGGGGCAUUCAGUGCCGGAGAGAAGUUGUUAAGUCUGCUACUUGGGGAGUACGUCCGCAAGGAUGAAACUUAAAGGAAUUGGCGGGGGAGCACCGCAACGGGAGGAGCGUGCGGUUUAAUUGGAUUCAACACCGUAAAACUCACCAGGGAAGACUGUUACAUGAAGGCCGAGAUGAAGACUCUGCUAGAUUUUCAGAGAGGAGGUGCAUGGCGUCAGUGAC
rnacentral:rRNA from 1 species